GGUUAAGCGACUAAGCGUACACGGUGGAUGCCCUGGCAGUCAGAGGCGAUGAAGGGCGUGCUAAUCUGCGAUAAGCGCCGGUAAGGUGAUAUGAACCGUUAUAACCGGCGAUACCCGAAUGGGGAAACCCAGUGUGAUUCGUCACACUAUCAUUAACUGAAUCCAUAGGUUAAUGAGGCGAACCGGGGGAACUGAAACAUCUAAGUACCCCGAGGAAAAGAAAUCAACCGAGAUUCCCCCAGUAGCGGCGAGCGAACGGGGAGGAGCCCAGAGCCUGAAUCAGCAUGUGUGUUAGUGGAAGCGUCUGGAAAGGCGCGCGAUACAGGGUGACAGCCCCGUACACAAAAGCGCAUGUGCUGUGAGCUCGAUGAGUAGGGCGGGACACGUGGUAUCCUGUCUGAAUAUGGGGGGACCAUCCUCCAAGGCUAAAUACUCCUGACUGACCGAUAGUGAACCAGUACCGUGAGGGAAAGGCGAAAAGAACCCCGGCGAGGGGAGUGAAAAAGAACCUGAAACCGUGUACGUACAAGCAGUGGGAGCACCCUUCGGGGUGUGACUGCGUACCUUUUGUAUAAUGGGUCAGCGACUUAUAUUCUGUAGCAAGGUUAACCGUAUAGGGGAGCCGGAGGGAAACCGAGUCUUAACCGGGCGUUAAGUUGCAGGGUAUAGACCCGAAACCCGGUGAUCUAGCCAUGGGCAGGUUGAAGGUUGGGUAACACUAACUGGAGGACCGAACCGACUAAUGUUGAAAAAUUAGCGGAUGACCUGUGGCUGGGGGUGAAAGGCCAAUCAAACCGGGAGAUAGCUGGUUCUCCCCGAAAGCUAUUUAGGUAGCGCCUCGUGAAUUCAUCUCCGGGGGUAGAGCACUGUUUCGGCUAGGGGGCCAUCCCGGCUUACCAACCCGAUGCAAACUGCGAAUACCGGAGAAUGUUAUCACGGGAGACACACGGCGGGUGCUAACGUCCGUCGUGAAGAGGGAAACAACCCAGACCGCCAGCUAAGGUCCCAAAGUCAUGGUUAAGUGGGAAACGAUGUGGGAAGGCCCAGACAGCCAGGAUGUUGGCUUAGAAGCAGCCAUCAUUUAAAGAAAGCGUAAUAGCUCACUGGUCGAGUCGGCCUGCGCGGAAGAUGUAACGGGGCUAAACCAUGCACCGAAGCUGCGGCAGCGAACGUAUCACCCAAGACAACUUUACGGAGUUGACGAUUGACGGAGCGAAGCGACGUCAAAGCGUUCAUUAAAGUCGAGUUGGCUUAGGGAUAUUAAGAGAAGAUUUUCAGCACUGAUUCAGAUUACAUCAGAACGUAAAAACGGUCUGAUAACAUUAAGAGAAGAUUUUCAGCACUGAUUCAGAUUACAUCAGAACGUAAAAACGGUCUGNNNAUAACAGAAUUUGCCUGGCGGCACUAGCGCGGUGGUCCCACCUGACCCCAUGCCGAACUCAGAAGUGAAACGCCGUAGCGCCGAUGGUAGUGUGGGGUCUCCCCAUGCGAGAGUAGGGAACUGCCAGGCAUCAAAUUUAGUGUGCUGAUAUGGCUCAGUUGGUAGAGCGCACCCUUGGUAAGGGUGAGGUCCCCAGUUCGACUCUGGGUAUCAGCACCACUUAAUACGGUUAAAGUUCGGUAUUUGAAAAAGAAUUUGUCUGGCGGCAGUAGCGCGGUGGUCCCACCUGACCCCAUGCCGAACUCAGAAGUGAAACGCCGUAGCGCCGAUGGUAGUGUGGGGUCUCCCCAUGCGAGAGUAGGGAACUGCCAGACAUCAAAUAAAACAAAAGGCUCAGUCGAAAGACUGGGCCUUUUGUUUUAUCUGUUGUUUGUCGGUGAGUAGUCUCCUGAGGAGGACAAAUCCGCCGGGAGCGGAUUUGAACGUUGCGCAGCAACGGCCCGUAGGGUGGCGGGCAGGACGCCCGCCAUAAACUGCCAGACAUCAAAUAAAGCAAAGGGCCCAAUCGAAAGACUGGGCCUUUUUGCAUUUAUCUCUCUAUGGAAAAAGUUAUCGGAUAAUGACGCCGACGCGUUUUAAACAUCUUCGUAGAGUGGAUAAAAACCGUUUUAGUCAACGUGAUUUCCCACCAUAUAUCCGCCUGAACCAUCGAAUGUGAACCGUGCUGAAGUAGAUGUACAAACGGCUUUUACUUACGCCUCUAAUAAGCAAUAGAGAUAUUCGCUGAGGACUAAAAAUCUGGCCCAUUAGGCUAUUUUAUUUGCCAGUUUGGCCUAGGGACAGUGCUCAAAAUCCUCAUGUAUUACGUGUAUGUUCCGGUUUAUAUCCAGACUGUCUGUAAUAAUUACGCCUAAUGAUCACGCUCUAAGUCUUACUGUAUAAAGCCUGUUUGUAAUGCGGCUUACGAUGCUAUCAAGCUAUAAUUUUGUCUGCAUCGGACAAGGAAUAGAAUAAAUACCAUCGGGAUGGGCGAGUAAGAAAAGAGAGCGUUUUAUCGUGUUAACUUUCGGGGGACAGGCUGAACAGAUUACGUCGCUGAGUAUCCUUACGACCUUUAUAUUAUUACUGAAAGCGCGGCAUUGCCGCGCCUGCAUGUAUCAUUUAGAAAGCGCAAUGAUACCCAUCGUCAACCCUGCUACCGCCGCAGCGCCGCCAGCAAUAGCGCCUGCUGUCUCCCAGUUAUCCUGCGUUGUACCUUUCAUACAUGUAUUGGUAUGAACCAGCCGCCCUUGAUCGUCAUAAACCGGUACGCAGGGAGAAUCAUGUGCACAACCUGCCAAUAAGGUGGUAAGCAAUGCAACUGGAAUUAGUCUUUUCAUGGUGUUACCUCAUUAAUCAGCGUUUCGCGAAGUACAGCAACGUAAUGCUGGCUCUAACCGCUGCGAAAACGAGAGUUAUUUUACCACCACAGAAAAAAUGGCCGACAUGAGGAAUCAUCUCAAUUCAUGUGAAUUGUAAAAACUAUGGA
rnacentral:rRNA from 1 species